AAGUCAGGUGUGAAAGCCCCGGGCUCAACCUGGGAACUGCAUUUGAAACUGAUUAACUAGAGUAUGGUAGAGGGAGGUGGAAUUUCUGGUGUAGCGGUGAAAUGCGUAGAUAUUGGAAAGAACAUCAAUGGCGAAGGCAGCUUCCUGGACCAAUACUGACGCUGAGGUACGAAAGCGUGGGUAGCAAACAGGAUUAGAUACCCUGGUAGUCCACGCCGUAAACGAUGACAACUAGCUGUUGGGGGAAUUUACCCUUUAGUGGCGCAGCUAACGCUUUAAGUUGUCCGCCUGGGGAGUACGGCCGCAAGGUUAAAACUCAAAUGAAUUGACGG
rnacentral:rRNA from 1 species